UCAGGGCCAAUGCGGCUUCUCAAAAUCCACGUUGUCAAGAAGUUUCAGGUUCAAUCAACACUCCACUUUAAAGAUAUGGUUUCCUGCAAGAUUGAAAUUUAAUCUUAACUUUGCAGAUGCUUUAUCUUUGAGGUGGAAUGUCAAGUGAAACUGAAAUUUCUUGGCAACGUGGAGUUUGAGAAAGCGCACUAGCUCUGA